UACGUAGGGUCCGAGCGUUGUCCGGAAUCAUUGGGCGUAAAGCGCGUGUAGGCGGCCCGGUAAGUCCGCUGUGAAAGUCCAGGGCUCAACCCUGGGAUGCCGGUGGAUACUGUCGGGCUCGAGUCCGGAAGAGGCGAGUGGAAUUCCUGGUGUAGCGGUGAAAUGCGCAGAUAUCAGGAGGAACACCAAUGGCGAAGGCAGCUCGCUGGGACGUGACUGACGCUGAGACGCGAAAGCGUGGGGAGCAAACAGG
rnacentral:rRNA from 1 species